UCGCCUCAUUCGCCCAUGUGUAUGGGUGGGUUCAGAUCGUUUUCGCCCAUAGCCGAAUAACAACUCGCCUAUAGCCGAACUGCCUCCUGGUCUAAACAAAAUUUCCCUAACCGGAAAAAAACCUAAACCCCAAACCCUCCCCUCCCCACAAAGACCAAGCAGAAAGGAACGAACGCAUGACCGCGCAUGACCGACCGACUCUUUUUCAGAUCCCUUCUACUCGGAUGGUGUAUUUUUUAGGAUUUGUUGAUGACGGUGCCGUAAGGAUUUUGAUAUCUUCUGUAUGAGAUGGUGGGUGUUCUUUGUCCGGGUUUGGGAUUCUUUAUUUUGUUAAAUGGGUGAACAAGAUUUUUGAUACAUUGGUGUUGUAUGUCGUAUGGGCAUAUGCUUCGGUCUAAGAAGAUAACAGAACAUGUUAUCUCUGCAAGCAAUUCGCAGAUUAGAACAUGUUAUCUCUGCAAGCAAUUCGCAGAUUUUGUCAUGCUGCUUCCCUUGCAUCAACCACUGAUACUUUUGCAGUUGUAUCGAAGCAACUUCCAAGUAAAAUACCUUUACAACAAAGUGCCCUCUCCAAACUUAAAGCUGAGAGAGACCCUGAUAAGUUAUUCAUUUUAUUCAAGGCUAAUGCCCACAAUAAAGUUGUCAUUGAAAAUAGAUUUGCAUUUGAAGAUACAGUUUCUCGAUUAGCUGGGGCUCGCCGCUUUGAUUACAUUGAGCAUUUGCUUGAGCACCAGAAAACUCUUCCACAAGGUAGGCGAGAAGGCUUCAUUAUGAGAAUUAUAAUGUUGUAUGGUAAGGCUGGGAUGAUAAAGCAUGCUCUUGAUACUUUUUAUGAUAUGCAUUUGUAUGGAUGUGAGAGAACUGUUAAGUCUUUCAAUGCUGCACUUAAGGUUUUGAUUCAAACUCAUGAUGUAAGAGCUAUUGAGGCAUUUCUUAGUGAUGUUCCACAGAAAUUCAAUGUUGAAUUGGAUACUUAUUCUGUCAAUAUAGCUACCAAGGCAUUUUGUGAAAUGGAUUUCUUAGAAAGAGCUUAUUUGGUUAUGGUAGAGAUGGAAAAACUGGGAAUUAGGCCAGAUGUCAUUACCUACACAACACUUAUAUCAGCUUUCUAUAACAAAAAUCAAUGGGUGAUUGGCAAUGGGUUGUGGAAUCUUAUGGUGUAUAAGGGAUGCAAACCUAAUCUUACAACUUUUAAUGUCAGGAUUCAGUAUUUGGUUAAUAGGAGACGGGCAUGGCAAGCUAAUGAUUUGAUGUGUUUGAUGCGGAAAAUCGGGAUUGUCCCUGAUGAGGUUACACACAAUUUGGUAAUUAAGGGAUUCUGCCAGGCUGGUUAUCUUGAAAUGGCUAAAAGGGUUUAUUCUUCUCUAGAAUUUUGCAGGGAGUAUAGGCCUAAUAUUAAGAUUUACCAGACAAUGAUUCAUUAUCUUUGCAAGGGAGGGGAGUACAAUUUGGCCUAUACAAUGUGUAAAGACUGUAUGAGAAAGAAUUGGUUUCUGAAUGUGGAUACAAUUCGUUCACUGCUUGAAGGCCUUAUAAAAAAUGGGCAACUGGGUAAGGCUAAGAUGAUAAUGACAUUUGUUAGGAGUCGAGUACCUCCUUUUUCUUCAACUCAAUUGGAUACUUUGCAAUCCGUAUUGUCGAGGACUUAAAUCAAGAUGAUGGAUUGAGAAGGGACCGGUUUGAUUAAUGUAAAAAUACUGCUUAAAAGAAGCUAGUGUUUGGUUUUCUCCAUUCAGUUAUAGUUCCAAAAACUAGUUGGAUAUAGAUUUUUAUGAUUAACAUCAAAGCAAAGGCAGAUCCCAUUUUUGUUCAAUUAAUUUGUGGAACCGUCUCAAUAAGUCCGUGAUGAAUGAAAUCUAAUAUAUAGCAGAAAUCUUUAUUCCUGUAAGCUGUCAUGCAACUACACCCUCUCAUGAUUUGUAUUGUUCUCACUUCUUUGCAUAUGGAGCUCUUACGGUUGCAAUUUUUAUUUUCUUUUGUACAAUAAAAGAUGUUUAUUAACUGUUUUGCAAUUUCAUUUUCCUCUCUAUGAAGCAUGCCUUAGGUGUUAAACAUUCCAUAAACAUUAAUUAUUAUCUUGUUUCGAAGGGGUAUACUUUUCCACCUUCUCAAUACGGAAUUGAUGAUCUUCCUUUUAGGUUUUAAACCAUAUGACCCAUAGUCUUUUUCUGUCUCUUGCCAAUGCGUGUUUUCACAUGUUAGUGCUCAUAUUGAUUCUUACAGGGCUAAUAUUUUGCUCUUUAUAUGAUGAAUUACCUGAGCAAUAUUCCAAGUUUUGAUGUGUUGUUACUUUGUAUCUGAGGUGUUAACUUUACAAAAUGUUUCAGCUUCAGUGAUGAAGAAUAGAAUGGCCAUGGAAAGAAGGAACUUUCUUCCUAAUUAGAUAUUGAUCGGUUGCUAAAUAGAUUGGGAGGUGAACUUGGAGGCAAUUCUCUACUGAUGUUUUUGGUUAGCGGCUAAAUUGUAUAAAGAUUUGAGGUUAUAUUCUUCCAUGAAAUGCAUUUUAAGGACCAAAGAGGUUUCUUGCAUAGAACAAUUGAUAGAUGGUUCGGCUCUUUAUAUUUCAUUUAGUGAGGUUGCAAAAAGGAACACAGCUGAGAUCUCCUACAUUGUCCCUCUUGUGGAACUCAGGGAAAAACUGGAAAAAGAAAAAGAAACUACCAAGUGGUUUAUGAUUGAAACAUUGUCACAAUCCUUUGCUUAAAGGGUUUGGGAGUAUAUUCAUUGGGUUUUAUAACUUUUCUUAAUGCUUUGUAGGGAUUAAGGAGAGCAUUCACACUGGCGGUUUUUCUUUUUUAUUUUAAAAAAGUUAUAAAUUUCUUAGGAGGUUUUCCUUGUUAGGCUUGUGCACUUCCAUGAAUCAAACAUUCAUUUUGGUUGUAUUUCAUCAUUUUUGUUUGUUUGUUUUCACUAUUUUCGGGAAUGCAGAUUGGUUUUGUAAACAUCAAUUGUUCUUAUUAUGAAAUAAUAAAUGUUAUUUC